AGAAUUACCGAUGGAAAAGUCCAUUUUUGACCAAUGGGAGAAGGACGAAUCUUGUUUUAUUUCAACAAAUGCGUGUGAAGAAGUAGAAAAAACAAUCAAAAGCAGGAACCUGAUUAUAGUGGGUGGUCACUCAGGUUCCGGAAAGUCAGCCAUUAUUCAACACAUCGCACUCAAAUACAGAAAGCAGGGCUGGACCGUAAGACGAGUAACGGAGAUUGGCAUUGGUAAUCUCUUAAAAAACAAAGAAUACACCGAAGAGUUUAAACAUGGGUUAAACCUCUGCGGAUUUAAUAGUAUGGCACCUUUUGAAGUAGUCAACAAUCUUGAGUCCCUGAACGGAUAUUUGGUCAAGAAAGUAGGCGACACGUACCAUUUUUAUCAUGACUUUGUAAUGGAAGUUACCACGCAUGUGUUUGGAACUGAGUAUUCCACUGAAACAAUAAAAUACGCCGAUAUUGGCUUCCUCAGAAGAAGAGUAAAAUUGGGAAAUGUUGACAAACACGACGACUCGUUCACUAUUUAUCUAAGUGACGGAUACAUUGAGGAACUUGGAGAAAGGCUUUAUACUGAACUGUUUGGAGAACGCGUGGUAGAUGUCGUACUCAACCCUUGUCUAAAGAACGAAAAACUGGUAACGAUAUCCGAGAAAACGAUGACUAUAACCAUAGGGAAACAGGUGCAGAACGAAGGGAUAAAACUGUACAACUUUUACUGAGUAAUGGAGCAGACAUUAAUUUGUGUGAUGAGAAAGGCCUCAGUCCUCUCUAUAUAGCUUGUCAAAUCGGACAUGAUAGCACUGUACAACUUUUACUGAGUAAUGGAGCAGACAUUAAUUUGUGUAAAGAGAACGGAGCCAGUCCUCUCUAUAUAGCUUGUCAAAACGGACAUGAUAGCACUGUACAACUUUUACUGAGUAAUGAAGCAGACAUUAAUUUGUGUAAAGAGAACGGAGCCAGUCCUCUCUAUAUAGCUUGUCAAAACGGACAUGAUAGCACUGUACAACUUUUACUGAGUAAUGGAGCAGACAUUAAUUUAUGUGACGAGGACGGAACCAGUCCUCUCUAUAUAGCUUGUCAAAACGGACAUGAUAGCACUGUACAACUUUUACUGAGUAACGGAGCAGACAUUAAUUUAUGUGAUGAGGAAGGCCUCAGUCCUCUCUAUAUAGCUUGUCAAAUCGGACAUGAUAGCACUGUACAACUUUUACUGAGUAAUGGAGCAGACAUUAAUUUAUGUCUGGAGGACGGAGCCAGUCCUCUCUAUAUAGCUUGUCAAAACGGACAUAAUAGCACUGUACAACUUUUACUGAGUAAUGGAGCAGACAUUAAUUUAUGUGACGAGGACGGAGUCAGUCCUCUCUAUAUAGCUUGCCAAAUCGGACAUAAUAGCACUGUACAACUUUUACUGAGUAAUGGAGCAGACAUUAAUUUAUGUGAGGAAAAUGGAGCCGGUCCUCUCUUAAUAGCUUGUUUAAAUGAACGUGAUAGCACUGUACAACUUUUACUGAGUAAUGGAGCAUUAAUCUAUGUACGAAAGACAGAGUCAGCCCUCUUAUUUAUGCUUUUGUGAAUAGACUUUACGAAACUGUUAAUAUUUUACUCAACAACGGUGCAGACUCUAGCCUGGCUUGUGGAUGGGAAGUCAAUCCCGACUUGGUUGAUUGCUUUGAUAAACAAGACUGCACAGUGGUAUUUUUACUACAAAAAGGCAACAUUUCAAAUAACUUGUAUGACCCGGAUUCGUAUUUUUCUCUGUUUGUAUCAUGUCAGGUAGAAAGAGUGACAAGAACACAAUAUUUUAAGAACGAGUCUAAAUAAAUUCACGUUCAAAAUAACAUAUAUAUAUAUCAUUUGGUGAACUGAGAUAUUAAAUACGAGUAUGCAAUUCAGGAUAUGGAAGCACACCUGAUGUUAAAAACGGACGUUUUGAUACCCCAGAAGUGUCUGUAUAAUUGUUUUAGAUAAGCAAAGUGAUCUUUAAGGGAAAAGAGUAUAUUUGUUUUGAUUAACUUUUUAUUCUAUUUAUUUAUAUAUUUAUAUUUUAUUUAUUUAGAAUGAGAGAAAAGUAUAAGAUCGGUAUAUCUAUCAUUGACUUUAAGUGUUGAUAUCUACUGUACUACCAUAUAUUGGAUAAGUAAAUGUAUAUAAUUGUGAGGAGAGUAUGAUUACAGGUACAACCAUCAGUCUACAUGAAACAAAUGAUAUCUGCGUACGUUUAGCAGAAUUAUAUUUCUUUUAAUAUAUAUGUCUUGUGUUUACGCCUGUCUAGUUAUGAAAUAAAUUGAUGGAAAUAAACCUUUUUUGUUGAGUUGAAUUACAUGUAUAUAUUACAUGUGGUUAUUAAAAUUUUAAAGUGCCCCG
rnacentral:sRNA from 1 species